rnacentral:rRNA from 1 species
UACGAAGGGGGCGAGCGUUGUUCGGAUUUACUGGGCGUAAAGGGCGCGCAGGCGGCGCAUUUUGUCAGGCGUGAAAGCCCCGGGCUUAACCUGGGAACUGCGUUUGAUACGGAUGGGCUAGAGUUCGGCAGGGGAGACUGGAAUUCCUGGUGUAGCGGUGAAAUGCGCAGAUAUCAGGAGGAACACCGUGGCGAAGGCGGCCUCUGGACGGCGACUGACGCUGAGACGCGAAAGCGUGGGGAGCAAACAGG